AGCAGCCGCGGUAAUUCCAGCUCCAAUAGCGUAUAUUAAAGUUGUUGCAGUUAAAAAGCUCGUAGUUGAAUUUCGGGGUUAGUAGGUUGGUCAUGCCUCUGGUAUGUACUGGUCUCACUGAUUCCUCCUUCCUGAUGAGCCGUAAUGCCAUUAAUUUGGUGUUGCGGGGAAUUUGGACUGUUACUUUGAAAAAAUUAGAGUGUUUAAAGCAAGCUAACGCUUGAAUACAUUAGCAUGGAAUAAUGAAAUAGGACGUUCGAUCCUAUUUUGUUGGUUUCUAGGAUUGACGUAAUGAUUAAUAGGGAUAGUUGGGGGCAUUAGUAUUCAAUUGUCAGAGGUGAAAUUCUUGGAUUUAUUGAAGACUAGCUACUGCGAAAGCAUUUGCCAAGGAUGUUUUCAUUAAUCAAGAACGAAAGUUAGGGGAUCGAAGACGAUCAGAUACCGUCGUAGUCUUAACCAUAAACUAUGCCGACUAGGGAUCGGAUGAUGUUAAUUUUUUAAUGACUCAUUCGGCGCCUUA
rnacentral:rRNA from 1 species